ensembl:lncRNA
CUGUGUUUAACCCCUCUCAGGCAGCAGAUGACCACUGAGGGGGUUUGGCUGUCCCAGAGCACAGUGUGGGGAGGAAUGCCACCAACAAAUUGACUGAGGCUCCCCUCCUAUUUGCUCCUUCUGUCUUCAAAAGAUUGUGUAUCUAAAAAAAGCCAACUGGGCAAGGAUUUCAGGGAAUGGAUUUUGUAAGCUGUUAUUUGCCUCAAGAUCAAUCUGUCUGCCCUCAAGAUGAAAAGAGGAACAAAAAAAUUGCAUACGUCGUUCUGACUUUAAGGUACGGAGAAAAUGAAUGUCGUGACUGUCCUCAAAGAGAAUCAUCAUAGAUGGCAAAGCUUUCCAGAAAGCCUGCAGACAGCAGUCCAGGGAACACAAGCGUUGCUCUGAGCCAGACAGCAAACCCCGGGACAUGCAGGGCGGCGGUGGCAGCCUGGGCUCGUUCUGCUUUUAACUGACGGCAGCGUGGAUGAAUAAAGCUUUUCCCCAGGGCAUAUCCUAACUGCACACAACAAAUACUCAUUGAUGUCAGCUAACCAAUGCCACCAGCUUGUGAAAACACAACAAUUAUGAGCUGAUUUAGCAGUAUCCUCGCGGUAAUUUCAUUUCCCUUAUUCCGCCUAAUGGAUAGCUAGGUAUUUGCAUGAAGCGUGUGUGGCUUUUUGCCUGAAUUGUUAAUCGAGUGAUUAAGCGGGCAGUGGAAGCGGUGCCUGCAGCUGACACACCGCCGCCCCGGGCGCCUCCCGCACCGGCUCCCGAGCUUUAAGAAAGCUCCUCUCUUAAGCUACUCACGUGCAAACCACAGCAGGGUUAGCACGGGCCGUCUAUCGCGCUAAGUCACCUUUCUGCCCCCCGGUUUCCACAGCGGGUAUUUAUUUCCGUAGACGCCCGCCUCCCUCAGGCAACGGCUGCGGCGGUAACCCGCAGGCUGCUUAGCAAAGCGUGCUCCACGGAGACGCACGCGUGCCUCCAGCUUGCACAAGGCGACCCAGUGCACGGUUACUUGAUUAGCUGAUCGCAGAGCGCAGAAACACCUGCCUGCAGCGCCCACCCCUCCCGCAGCUGCCAGCCGGUACCGAGGAGUCCCAGGACUGCCCGGGCCGCUCUCAGCCCGCAG